rnacentral:rRNA from 1 species
UGGGGAAUAUUGCACAAUGGGCGCAAGCCUGAUGCAGCCAUGCCGCGUGUGUGAAGAAGGCCUUCGGGUUGUAAAGCACUUUCAGCGGGGAGGAAGGCGGUGAGGUUAAUAACCUCAUCGAUUGACGUUACCCGCAGAAGAAGCACCGGCUAACUCCGUGCCAGCAGCCGCGGUAAUACGGAGGGUGCAAGCGUUAAUCGGAAUUACUGGGCGUAAAGCGCACGCAGGCGGUCUGUCAAGUCGGAUGUGAAAUCCCCGGGCUCAACCUGGGAACUGCAGUAGAAACUGGCAGGCUAGAGUCUUGUAGAGGGGGGGAGAAUUCCAGGUGUAGCGGUGAAAUGCGUAGAGAUCUGGAGGAAUACCGGUGGCGAAGGCGGCCCCCUGGACAAAAACUGACGCUCAGGUACGAAAGCGUGGGGAGCAAACAGG